CAAAGAUGGUAGCAACAUGUUGGCAAAAAGCUUUUGUGGCGUACGUUGUACACAAAUAAGAAGUUAUGGACUUACCGAUUCUGCGUGGUGAUAUGAGGAAAAAAAUUUCAUGAAACCUUUCCAGCGCCAAAAUAGAAGAAGAGUGCAAGAACAUACUCCCAAGAUAUUCUUUGUCCACCUGGGGUACAAAAGAUCUUGAUGGUGGAAAAGGCAUUUCUUGCAAGCUUCAGCAUGUGGCAGGUAUCAAGAAUUACAAAGAUCUUUUCAUUGGGGUUUGAUGGAUGUGGAAAUUAUGUGCAAAGGUUUUUUAUAUCACAUCCAAGUUUCUCAGCCAUGCUAACAUUCUUAAGAGCACCAUCAAAGAUGACUGCAUGAACUUUAGCUCCUCUCUCAGCAAGGAGGUUAAUUGCUUCACUUAUGAGCUGUUUCAAUAUUUUUGCAUUUAGGUUAUUUGUUAAAAAGUUACCAAUAGGGACAUACCAUGGUAUUUCUUCAGGUCAGUAGUUUUUCGCAACCCCACCCCCCCCCCACCCCUGCUUAUUAUAAUCCUGUAUAAAAAACAGAAUAGGAAUGGAAAUAUAACCUAUCUAUGCAUUUCCACAUAAACUCAUUAAAUAAAGAGAUAUAUUGAUCUAUGCAUAUUUAAGUAUGUAUUUACUGAAAUACAUGCCCCCCCCCCCCUUCCACCAAAGUUUGUUAGGAAAUUUUGCUACAAUGUAAGAAAUGAUAGGAAAAUUUAUCUUCGGCAUCCGAGUAAAUUCACCUAUUGCACCCUCUUUGAAGAAUUAAUGCCACGAACCAUAAGAUGACUUUUAAUUUGGUUCACUGCCCUCCCGAUUUUAUGUACCUACUGUCUGUUUGUGAACAUAGUAGAAAUAUCAUUAAUGAAAAUCAUUUCGAAUACUUAAUAAAAGUAUCAUAGAAUU